GAGCGCUGCAGUCAUUUAUUGGUUGAUUGUCCAGCUUGUAUUUACCUUCACUAAAGUGCUCCUUUUGCCACUGACGGACUCCGAUUAAGAUUCCAACUGACUGACAACAUUAUGGAAAGAAGGAGGGCGACCUUUCUGUUAAAGAGUAA